CCAAGAUCAACAGUAAUUGAUACAAACGUGAGGAGUCUGGCAGAGGCUGACCAGGACUCCUUUUGAUAUUCACAGGCCCUCCCUCCAAGUCUUGAACCCGCGAAAACCAUGCUGUUUGUGGACUCUCACAAUUGGCGUCC